AUUCAAAAUAGUCAACAGGGUCGCAAGAAACGUGUGGAAAAACCAAGGCGCAAAAUAACUGCCCAUGAACUGAGAAAAGUCAAGCGUGCAGCUGCCACGAUGCCACUUGCCACCAGUUUGGCCAUAUUUCAGAGCUGCAACAUCACUGGAGUGCCCAAAAGCACAAGGUGUGCAAUACUCAGAGACAUGGCCAAGGUAAGAAAGGC